GAUGAACGCUGGCGGCGUGCCUAAUACAUGCAAGUCGAGCGAACAGAUGAGGAGCUUGCUCCUCUGACGUUAGCGGCGGACGGGUGAGUAACACGUGGAUAACCUACCUAUAAGACUGGGAUAACUUCGGGAAACCGGAGCUAAUACCGGAUAAUAUAUUGAACCGCAUGGUUCAAUAGUGAAAGACGGUUUUGCUGUCACUUAUAGAUGGAUCCGCGCCGCAUUAGCUAGUUGGUAAGGUAACGGCUUACCAAGGCAACGAUGCGUAGCCGACCUGAGAGGGUGAUCGGCCCCACUGGAACUGGGACACGGUCCAGACUCCUACGGGAGGCAGCAGUAGGGAAUCUUCCGCAAUGGGCGAAAGCCUGACGGAGCAACGCCGCGUGAGUGAUGAAGGUCUUCGGAUCGUAAAACUCUGUUAUUAGGGAAGAACAAAUGUGUAAGUAACUAUGCACGUCUUGACGGUACCUAAUCAGAAAGCCACGGCUAACUACGUG
rnacentral:rRNA from 1 species